rnacentral:rRNA from 1 species
GACGAACGCUGGCGGCAUGCCUAACACAUGCAAGUCGAACGGAGAUUCCUUCGGUACUCGUAGUGGCGAACGGGGGAGGAAGGCGGGGGCAACCUGACAUCGAGAUGGGGACAUCAUCCCGAAAGGAGGGCGAAUACCGUAUGCGACAACAAUAUCGCAUGAGGGGGCGGUGGAAGAGGGCCUCUAGAUAUAAGCUGUCGCUAGAGGAUGGGCCUGCGUCUGCUUUGCGAGUUGGUGGGGUAACGGCCUACCCAGGCGGUGAUCCGUAGCCGGGCUGAGAGGAUGGACGGCCACAUUUGGACCGUGACCCGGCCCAGACUCCUUCGGGAGGCCGCCGUUGGGGAUCUUCCGCCAUAGGCGGAAGCCUUACUGCGCAAUGCCGCGUGAGUGAUGAAGGAAUUCGUUCCGUAAAGGUCUUUUGUUUAGGACGAAUGUGCAGAUUGUUAAUACUAAGCUGUAAUGACGGUAGUCAACGAAUAAGCCCCGGCUAACUACGUG